rnacentral:rRNA from 1 species
UACGUACCGUCCGAACGUUAUUCGGUAUCACUGGGCUUAAAGCGUUCGUAGGCGGCCUGGUAGGUGAGGUGUGAAAGCCAACGGCUCAACCGUUGAAUUGCGCUUCAAACCACCAGGCUCGAGGAAGACAGGGGUGUUGGGAACUUAUGGUGGAGCGGUGAAAUGCGUUGAUAUCAUAGGGAACACCGGUGGCGAAGGCGCAACACUGGGUCUUUUCUGACGCUGAGGAACGAAAGCUAGGGUAGCGAACGGG